GACGAAGGAUGCAAGCGUUAUCCGGAUUCAUUGGGUUUAAAGGGUGCGUAGGCGGCCAGAUAAGUCAGUGGUGAAAUCCUGUUGCUUAACAACAGAACUGCCAUUGAUACUGUUUGGCUUGAGUACAGUUGCUGUGGGCGGAAUAUGACAUGUAGUGGUGAAAUACAUAGAGAUGUCAUAGAACACCGAUUGCGAAGGCAGCUCACAAAACUGUAACUGACGCUGAGGCACGAAAGUGCGGGGAUCAAACAGG
rnacentral:rRNA from 1 species